UGGGGAAUAUUGCACAAUGGGCGCAAGCCUGAUGCAGCCAUGCCGCGUGUAUGAAGAAGGCCUUCGGGUUGUAAAGUACUUUCAGCGGGGAGGAAGGUGUUGUGGUUAAUAACCGCAGCAAUUGACGUUACCCGCAGAAGAAGCACCGGCUAACUCCGUGCCAGCAGCCGCGGUAAUACGGAGGGUGCAAGCGUUAAUCGGAAUUACUGGGCGUAAAGCGCACGCAGGCGGUCUGUCAAGUCGGAUGUGAAAUCCCCGGGCUCAACCUGGGAACUGCAUUCGA
rnacentral:rRNA from 1 species